rnacentral:misc_RNA from 1 species
GAUGAAGAACGUAGCGAAAUGCGAUAAGUAAUGUGAAUUGCAGAAUUCAGUGAAUCAUCGAAUCUUUGAACGCACAUUGCGCCCCCUGGUAUUCCGGGGGGCAUGCCUGUCCGAGCGGCAUUACAACCCUCAAGCUCAGCUUGGUGUUGGGCCCCGCCGCCCCGGCGGGCCCUAAAGUCAGUGGCGGUGCCGUCCGGCUCCGAGCGUAGUAAUUCUUCUCGCUCUGGAGGUCCGGUCGUGUGCUCGCCAGCAACCCCCAAUUUUUUUCAGGUUGACCUCGGAUCAGGUAGGGAUACCCGCUGAACUUAAGCAUAUCAAUAAGCGGAGGA